UAGGGAAUCUUCCGCAAUGGACGAAAGUCUGACGGAGCAACGCCGCGUGAGUGAAGAAGGAUUUCGGUUCGUAAAACUCUGUUGUUAGGGAAGAAAAAAUGUAUAGUAACUAUAUACAAAAGAGACGGUACCUAACCAGAAAGCCACGGCUAACUACGUGCCAGCAGCCGCGGUAAUACGUAGGUGGCAAGCGUUGUCCGGAAUUAUUGGGCGUAAAGCGCGCGCAGGUGGUUUAGCCAGUCAGUCUUAAAAGUUCGGGGCUUAACCCCGUGAUGGGAUUGAAACUACUAGUCUAGAGUAUCGGAGAGGAAAGUGGAAUUCCUAGUGUAGCGGUGAAAUGCGUAGAUAUUAGGAAGAACACCAGUGGCGAAGGCGACUUUCUGGACGAACACUGACGCUGAGGCGCGAAAGCCAGGGGAGCGAACGGG
rnacentral:rRNA from 1 species